AACGUAGGAGACAAACGUUAUCCGGCGUUACUGGGCGUAAAUGGCGUGUAGGUGGUUGUGUCAGUCUGGCGUGAAAUUUUUCGGCUUAACCGGGAAAGGUCGUCGGAUACUGCAGAACUAGAGGACGGUAGAGGCGUGUGGAAUUCCGGGUGUAGUGGUGAAAUGCGUAGAGAUCCGGAGGAACACCAGUGGCGAAGGCGACACGCUGGGCCGUACCUGACACUGAUGCGCGACAGCAUGGGGAGCAAACAGG
rnacentral:rRNA from 1 species